rnacentral:rRNA from 1 species
AUGAAGGUCAAGGAGAAGACUGUCAAAGGAUCAAAAAGGCCCGUUGGUGGAUUUGAGAAAGCAACUUCAAAGAAGACAAGGAACACAGAUGAUAUUGCACAACUAGAGCCUCAUGGCACCUCAAAGGUAUUAUACUUCGUCGCUUUGUGUCCUAUAAAACCUUCAACAUUAUUGACCUUUCAUAUCAUUUUUCAUAGCCCCCUUCGGAGAAAGCAACUUCAAAGAAGAAAAAGAACAAAAAAGAUAUUGUACAACUACAACCUCAUGGCCUCUCAACGGUAUAACGAUGUUGCUUGUUUCUUAUAA